UGGGGAAUUUUGGACAAUGGGGGAAACCCUGAUCCAGCCAUCCCGCGUGUGCGAUGAAGGCCUUCGGGUUGUAAAGCACUUUUGGCAGGAAAGAAACGUCGCGGGUUAAUACCCCGCGAAACUGACGGUACCUGCAGAAUAAGCACCGGCUAGCUACGUGCCAGCAGCCGCGGUAAUACGUAGGGUGCAAGCGUUAAUCGGAAUUACUGGGCGUAAAGCGUGCGCAGGCGGUUCGGAAAGAAAGAUGUGAAAUCCCAGAGCUUAACUUUGGAACUGCAUUUUUAACUACCGGGCUAGAGUGUGUCAGAGGGAGGUGGAAUUCCGCGUGUAGCAGUGAAAUGCGUAGAUAUGCGGAGGAACACCGAUGGCGAAGGCAGCCUCCUGGGAUAACACUGACGCUCAUGCACGAAAGCGUGGGGAGCAAACAGGAUUAGAUACCCUGGUAGUCCACGCCCUAAACGAUGUCAACUAGCUGUUGGGGCCUUCGGGCCUUGGUAGCGCAGCUAACGCGUGAAGUUGACCGCCUGGGGAGUACGGUC
rnacentral:rRNA from 1 species